AUUGAACGCUGGCGGCAGGCCUAACACAUGCAAGUCGGGCGGUAGCACAGGAGAGCUUGCUCUCCGGGUGACGAGCGGCGGACGGGUGAGUAAUGUCUGGGAAACUGCCUGAUGGAGGGGGAUAACUACUGGAAACGGUAGCUAAUACCGCAUAACGUCGCAAGACCAAAGAGGGGGACCUUCGGGCCUCUUGCCAUCGGAUGUGCCCAGAUGUGGAUUAGCUAGUAGGUGAGGUAAAGGCUCACCUAGGCGACGAUCCCUAGCUGGUCUGAGGGGAUUACCAGCCACACUGGAACUGAGACACGGUCCAGACUGCUACGGGAGGCAUCAGUGGGGAAUAUUGGACAAUGGGCGCAAGCCUGAUUCAGCCAUGCCGCGUGUAUGAAGAAGGCCUUCGGGUUGUAAAGUACUUUCAGCGGGGAGGAAGGUGUUGUGGUUAAUAACCACAGCAAUUGACGUUACCCGCAGAAGAAGCACCGGCUAACUCCGUGCCAGCCGCCGCAGUAA
rnacentral:rRNA from 1 species